rnacentral:lncRNA from 1 species
GCACAUGUAGGUUCCCAGGUUCCCAGGCUAGGGGUUGAAUCAGAGCUGUAGCCGCUGGCCUACACCACAGCCAUAGCAAAGCCAGAUCCAAGCUGACUUUGCAACCUACACCACAGCUCAUGGCAACGUUACAAUCCCGACCUCACAGACUGAGGCCAGGGAUUGAAUUUGCAUCCCCAUGGGUACUAGUCAGAUUUGUUCCCACUAAGCCAUGAUAGGAACUCCUAGAUCACCAGUUUAUUAUAAAAAGAUAAAACUCAGGGAGUUAACCCUUGUGGCUCAACAGAAACGAAUCCGACUAAUAUCCAUGAGGACGUUGGUUCAAUCUCUGGCCUCGCUCAGUGGGUUAAGGAUCUGGCAUUGCCGUGAGCUGUGGUGUAGUCAGAUUUGUUUCCGCUGCUCCAAGACAGGAACUCCGGAAUCUGCAUUUUUAAAGCCACUCCCGACACACACACACAUAUCCCUACCACCCCACCCUCAGGUCAGGCCAGUGGAGGUAAUGAGAAUAACCCAUCCAUAAAGAUAUAUUGCCCUUGGUAUUGAACUCUGGCAGCUUCCCCAGAGUAGUCUCACCAAGGCCCUCAGGUUUUCGAAGGCAAAGCUAAAGCUCAGAUCCCUAAAGAGCCUGGUCCGAGGUCACAGAGUCAGCAAAGGCCAAACUAGGCUAUUCAAGGUGACCAGGCCUAUGUGCAGGUGACAUCCAAUAUCUAUAAUGGGUGACACGCAGCCCUUCAAAAGUCAGGAGACCAGGAGGUCCUCCUCCUCCUCUUCCUCCCCCUCCCCCCUCUCUCUGUCAUUCUUUUCUAGAAAUCAUCCACAGCCUAAAGCACACAGCCCACCCUGGACCUGUUAUCCAGAUACAAGAGAGCCUAAGUCAGUUGCCAAGGCAACCUCAAGGGAACACAGUCCUGUCAGACACAGGAAACCCCAGAAGGACCCUCGCCCCCCACCCCUAGCUGGUGCACUGAGCAGGGCAGGCAUUUGCUUGAGUGAAAGCCACAGCCUAGUUUCCCCGGCCUUGUGGGACAGAAGCCCAGGCCCCUGGUGUGUCAAGGCCAGACUGGGCAGCUUGGAAGGGACUUGGCUUCCCCCUCCAUCCACCUCUAUGGAAAAGCCACACAGAGGCCAUGGCCCUGAGGCCUGACUCCAGGGAUGGAGCUCCGUAUGCAAGCACAGCCCCCUCCCUGUCCCCACUGCCCCUGCCACCAAGGCCCGUGCAACUUUUCCAUUCAAAGAAGUGCACUAACGGGUGUGCCAGAGAAAAUUCCUCCUCUUAGAUCAAAUCAGCACCACAUGAAAUUUAACCCUUCAUCCACCAUCCACCCCCGCCCCACACUUUUGGAAUAAAAAACUGGAAUAAAAUGGAAUAAAAAACUCUUACCAUCAAGGCUUAUACUAAAUAGUGCUGGAAAGGGAGUUUGGCUUCUUGACCAUCAAUUGACACCCAGUUAAGCAGAAAUCACUGGGAACUAAGGAAAAAUAACAAACCCUGCCACCGUCUGCUCGCUGAGAUUCCACAGUGAAGCUUAUCUCAUGACUCAAAAAAAUACAUAUAUUUUUUUUUUUAAUAAGCAGCAACCAGGUCCUGUCCAGGGUGAUCCUUAAAAAUGUCCCCUCACCCCAGAGUUUUAUCCUAAAAUCCUUCCACGAAACACUCUUGUUUUCUAAGCAGGCAACCAGCAAAGGGAAGAGAGGCCUAGCAGGCUGAUAACACCAGAAAGGCCUAAAAUAGACAGAAAGGCCAGAGUCCUGCCACCGCAGCCCCCAACGCACAUUCCGGAAAACUAUGCCCAUCAGCUCACAAGGGGCCCAUAGCAAAACCCAGCCCGACAGGUACCUGGUCUGCGCGGGUCCAAGGUCACAGGAUCCACUCCUGCCCAAGGGGGUCUCCCCAGGUCGACGCACGGAGACCCCACCAAGCCCGGAGAGCAGGGACUGAGGAGAAAUGUCGGGAGCUCCCC